rnacentral:rRNA from 1 species
UACGGAGGGGACUAGCGUUGUUCGGAAUUACUGGGCGUAAAGCGCACGUAGGCGGAUUUGUAAGCCGGAUGUGAAAUCCCCGGGCUUAACCUGGGAAUGGCAUUCGGGACUGCAAGGCUGGAGUGCGGCAGAGGAGACUGGAAUUCCUGGUGUAGCAGUGAAAUGCGUAGAUAUCAGGAGGAACACCGAUGGCGAAGGCAGGUCUCUGGGCUGACACUGACGCUCAUGCACGAAAGCGUGGGGAGCAAACAGG